rnacentral:lncRNA from 1 species
CUAUGAAAGGUGAGCACUCUGCCCCCUGUUGGGGGAUACGUCUGUCCCCCGCAGGACUAGGAAUUCCUUGAGGGCACAGAUUGGUGCUGGUUUGGUCCCUGCUGUUUCGCCAGCAUUGCCAGCACAAGGCCUGGCACAGGGCAGAGGCUCACAAAAUACCAGCUAAAGGAAAUAAUGAAUGGAUGGAGGGAUGAAUGGUGUGUAACCGCCCAAGGAGUUCACCUUGCCCGCUGCCUAGACAGAGCUGAUUCAUCAAGAGAGGAGAACUGCAAGACAAAGAGUAAUUCACGCAGAGUUGGCUGUGCGGGAGGGUGUUUUGUUUGUUUGUUUGAGAUUGAGACAGUCUUGCUCUGUUGCCCAGACUGGAGGGCAGUGGUGCAAUCUCGGAUCACUGCAACCUCUACCUCCUAGGUUCAAGCAAUUCUCCUGCCUCAGCCUCCUGAGUAGAUGAGAUUACAGAUGUGCGCCACCACACCCAGCUAAUUUUUGUAUUUUCAGUAGACACGGGUUUUCACCAUGUUGGUCAGGCUGGUCUCGAACUCCUGACCUCAUGAUCCACCCACCUCGGCCUCCCAAAGUGCUGGAAUUACAGACGUGAGCCACCGCGCCCCAGCCAGGAGUCUUACCAUUACUCAAAUCAGUCUCCCUGAGCAUUCAGGGAGAUUUUAUUUUUAUUUUAUUUUAUUUUUUUUUUUUGAGAUGGAUUUUCACUCUUUCGCCUGGGCUGGAAUGAAGUGACGCGAUCUUGGCUCACUGCAACCUCCAUCCCCGGGUUCAAGCGAUUCUCAUGCUCCAGCCUCCCGAGUAGCUGGGAUUAUAGGCGCCCGCCACCAAGCCCGCCUAACUUUUGUAUUUUUAGUAGAGACGGGGUUUGACCAUGCUGGCCAGGCUGGUUGCAAACUCCUGACCUCAGGUGCUCCACCCCCCUCAGCCUUCCAAAGUGCUAGGAUUACAGAUGCGAGCCAAUGGGCCCAGCUGGAGCAGAGUUUUUUUGUUUUUUGUUUUUGUUUUGAGACGGAGUCUCGGUCUGUCGCCCAGGCUGGAGUGUAGUGGUGCGAUCUCGGUGGAGCAGAGUUUUUAAGGAUAACUUGAUGGGUGAGGGGAAGCCAGUGAGCCAGGAGUGCUGAUUGGUCAGAGAUGAAAUCACAGGGAGUCGGAGCUGUCUUCUUGCGCUCAGUCAGUUCCUGGGUUGGGGGGCCACAAGAUCAGAUGGGCCAGUUUAUUGAUCUGGGUAAGGCCAGCUGAUCC